GAUGAACGCUGGCGGCGUGCCUAAUACAUGCAAGUCGAGCGAACAGACGAGGAGCUUGCUCCUCUGACGUUAGCGGCGGACGUGUGAGUAACACGUGGAUAACCUACCUAUAAGCCUGGGAUAACUUCGGGAAACCGGAGCUAAUACCGGAUAAUAUAUUGAACCGCAUGGUUCAAUAGUGAAAGACGGUUUUGCUGUCACUUAUAGAUGGAUCCGCGCCGAAUUAGCUAGUUGUUAAGGUAACGCCUUACCAAGGCAACGAUGGGUAUCCGACCUGAGAGGUUGAACUGCCACACUUGCACUGAGCAAUCGACCUGACUCUUACGGGAGGAAGAAGUGUGGUAUCUUCCGCAAUAGGCGGAAGCUUGACGGAGCAACCACGCGUGAGUGAUGAAGGUCUUCGGAUCGUAAAACUCUGUUAUUAGGGAAGAACAAAUGUGUCAGUAACUAUGCAUGUCUUGACGGUAACUAAUCAGAAAGCAACGGCUAACUACGUG
rnacentral:rRNA from 1 species